GUACGCGAGGGAAUCUGAAUACCGGUGGGGAAUAACGACGGGAAACUGUCGCUAAUACCGCAUACGCCCUAAGGGGGAAAGAUUUAUCGCUGAUAGAUGAGCCCGCGUACGAUUAGCUAGUUGGCGAGGUAAUGGCUCACCCCGGCUACAAUCGUUAGCUGGUCUGAGAGGAUGAUCAGCCACACUGGGACUGAAACACGGCCCAAACUCCUACGGGAGGCAGCAGUGGGGAAUAUUGGACAAUGGGCGAAAGCCUGAUCCAGCAAUGCCGCGUGAGUGAUGAAGGCCUUAGGGUUGU
rnacentral:rRNA from 1 species